AGCCAUUGGUUGAUAUCUUUGGUUUAACCUGCCCGGUGUUAAUUUAACGGCCGCAGUACUUUGACUGUGCUAAGGUAGCAUAAUCAAUUGACUUUUAAAUGGAGUCGGGAAUGAAUGGUGGAACUGGGUUUAGCUGUCUUAAAAAUAGUUACUUGAAUUUGCUUUUUAAGUGAAAAAGCUUAAGUUAGAUAAAAAGACGAGAAGACCCUUAGAAUUUUUACGAAUUAGACUUUAGUUUUUAUUGGGGCGAUAGAGAAACAUGUUUAAACUUUCUUGAUAUACUAGCCGAUAAUUUUAAGUGCGGAUAAAUUACCUGAGGGAUAACAGCAUAAUUUUAAAGUUAAGUUUGUGACCUCGAUGUUGGACUAGGAAACUGGCAGGCUAGCCGUUUGCUUUGUUGGUUCUGUUCGAACUUAUAUUCCU
rnacentral:rRNA from 1 species